rnacentral:rRNA from 1 species
AGUGAACGCUGGCGGUAGGCCUAACACAUGCAAGUCGAACGGCAGCACAGUAAGAGCUUGCUCUUACGGGUGGCGAGUGGCGGACGGGUGAGGAAUACAUCGGAAUCUACUUUUUCGUGGGGGGUAAUGUAGGGAAACUUACGCUAAUACCGCAUACGACCUACGGGUGAAAGCAGGGGAUCUUCGGACCUUGCGCGAUUGAAUGAGCCGAUGUCGGAUUAGCUAGUUGGCGGGGUAAAGGCCCACCAAGGCGACGAUCCGUAGCUGGUCUGAGAGGAUGAUCAGCCACACUGGAACUGAGACACGGUCCAGACUCCUACGGGAGGCGGCAGUGGGGAAUAUUGGACAAUGGGCGCAAGCCUGAUCCAGCCAUACCGCGUGGGUGAAGAAGGCCUUCGGGUUGUAAAGCCCUUUUGUUGGGAAAGAAAAGCAGCAGGUUAAUACCCCGCUGUUCUGACGGUACCCAAAGAAUAAGCACCGGCUAACUUCGUG